rnacentral:rRNA from 1 species
GACGAACGCUGGCGGCGUGCCUAACACAUGCAAGUCGAGCGAGGGGAGUUCUUCGGAACAAACCUAGCGGCGGACGGGUGAGUAACACGUGGGCAACCUACCUCAAAGAGGGGGAUAGCCUCCCGAAAGGGAGAUUAAUACCGCAUAAAAUCAUGCUCUCGCAUGGGAGAAUGAUCAAAGGAGCAAUCCGCUUUGAGAUGGGCCCGCGGCGCAUUAGC